GCAUAUCAAUAAGCGGAGGAAAAGAAACCAACAGGGAUUGCCCUAGUAACGGCGAGUGAAGCGGCAACAGCUCAAAUUUGAAAUCUGGCCCUCGGGUCCGAGUUGUAAUUUGUAGAGGAUGCUUUUGGUGCGGUGCCUUCCGAGUUCCCUGGAACGGGACGCCAUAGAGGGUGAGAGCCCCGUCUGGUUGGAUGCCAAUCCUCUGUAAAGCUCCUUCGACGAGUCGAGUAGUUUGGGAAUGCUGCUCUAAAUGGGAGGUAUAUGUCUUCUAAAGCUAAAUAUUGGCCAGAGACCGAUAGCGCACAAGUAGAGUGAUCGAAAGAUGAAAAGCACUUUGAAAAGAGAGUUAAAAAGUACGUGAAAUUGUUGAAAGGGAAGCGCUUAUGACCAGACUUGGGCUUGGUUGAUCAUCCAGGGUUCUCCCCGGUGCACUCUUCCAGUCCAGGCCAGCAUCAGUUCGCUGCGGGGGAUAAAGGCUUCGGGAAUGUGGCUCCCUCGGGAGUGUUAUAGCCCGUUGUGUAAUACCCUGUGGUGGACUGAGGUUCGCGCAUCUGCAAGGAUGCUGGCGUAAUGGUCAUCAGCGACCCGUCUUGAAACACGGACCAAGGAGUCGUCUUCGUAUGCGAGUGUUCGGGUGUUAAACCCCUACGCGUAAUGAAAGUGAACGCAGGUGAGAGCUUCGGCGCAUCAUCGACCGAUCCUGAUGUUCUCGGAUGGAUUUGAGUAAGAGCAUACGGGGCCGGACCCGAAAGAAGGUGAACUAUGCCUGUAUAGGGUGAAGCCAGAGGAAACUCUGGUGGAGGCUCGCAGCGGUUCUGACGUGCAAAUCGAUCGUCAAAUAUGGGCAUGGGGCGAAAGACUAAUCGAACCUUCUAGUAGCUGGUUUCCGCCGAA
rnacentral:rRNA from 1 species